rnacentral:rRNA from 1 species
UGAGGAAUAUUGGUCAAUGGGCGCAAGCCUGAACCAGCCAUGCCGCGUGAAGGAUGAAGGUUCUAUGGAUUGUAAACUUCUUUUAUUUGGGAAUAAACCUCUUUACGUGUAGAGAGCUGAAGGUACCAAAUGAAUAAGCACCGGCUAACUCCGUGCCAGCAGCCGCGGUAAUACGGAGGGUGCAAGCGUUAUCCGGAAUCAUUGGGUUUAAAGGGUCCGCAGGCGGAUUUAUAAGUCAGUGGUGAAAGCCUACAGCUCAACUGUAGAACUGCCAUUGAUACUGUAAGUCUUGAAUUUGGUCGAAGUGGGCGGAAUAUGACAUGUAGCGGUGAAAUGCUUAGAUAUGUCAUAGAACACCGAUAGCGAAGGCAGCUCACUAGGCCAUUAUUGACGCUCAUGGACGAAAGCGUGGGGAGCAAACA